UCAGUGAAAUUGAACUCGCUGUGAAGAUGCAGUGUACCCGCGGCAAGACGGAAAGACCCCGUGAACCUUUACUAUAGCUUGACACUGAACAUUGAGCCUUGAUGUGUAGGAUAGGUGGGAGGCUUUGAAGUGUGGACGCCAGUCUGCAUGGAGCCGACCUUGAAAUACCACCCUUUAAUGUUUGAUGUUCUAACGUGGACCCGUUACCCGGGUUGCGGACAGUGUCUGGUGGGUAGUUUGACUGGGGCGGUCUCCUCCUAAAGAGUAACGGAGGAGCACGAAGGUUGGCUAAUCCUGGUCGGACAUCAGGAGGUUAGUGCAAUGGCAUAAGCCAGCUUGACUGCGAGCGUGACGGCGCGAGCAGGUGCGAAAGCAGGUCAUAGUGAUCCGGUGGUUCUGAAUGGAAGGGCCAUCGCUCAACGGAUAAAAGGUACUCCGGGGAUAACAGGCUGAUACCGCCCAAGAGUUCAUAUCGACGGCGGUGUUUGGCACCUCGAUGUCGGCUCAUCACAUCCUGGGGCUGAAGUAGGUCCCAAGGGUAUGGCUGUUCGCCAUUUAAAGUGGUACGCGAGCUGGGUUUAGAACGUCGUGAGACAGUUCGGUCCCUAUCUGCCGUGGGCGCUGGAGAACUGAGGGGGGCUGCUCCUAGUACGAGAGGACCGGAGUGGACGCAUCACUGGUGUUCGGGUUGUCAUGCCAAUGGCACUGCCCGGUAGCUAAAUGCGGAAGAGAUAAGUGCUGAAAGCAUCUAAGCACGAAACUUGCCCCGA
rnacentral:rRNA from 1 species